GUGCCAGCCGCUGCGGUAAUACGUAGGUGGCAAGCGUUGUCCGGAUUUAUUGGGCGUAAAGCGAGCGCAGGCGGUUCUUAAGUCUGAUGUGAAAGCCCCCGGCUCAACCGGGGAGGGUCAUUGGAAAACUGGGAGACUUGAGUGCAGAAGAGGAGAGUGGAAUUCCAUGUGUAGCGGUGAAAUGCGUAGAUAUAUGGAGGAACACCAGUGGCGAAGGCGGCUCUCUGGUCUGUAACUGACGCUGAGGCUCGAAAGCGUGGGGAGCAAACAGGAUUAGAUACCCUGGUAGUCCACGCCGUAAACGAUGAGUGCUAAGUGUUGGAGGUUUCCGCCUUCAGUGCUGCAGCAAACGCAUUAAGCACUCCGCCUGGGGAGUACGACCGCAAGGUUGAAACUCAAAGGAAUUGACGGGGCCCGCACAAGCGUGGAGCAUGUGGUUUAAUUCGAAGCAACGCGAAGAACCUUACCAGGUCUUGACAUCCUUUGACCACUCUAGAGAUAGAGCUUUCCCUUCGGGGACAAAGU
rnacentral:rRNA from 1 species